rnacentral:rRNA from 1 species
CCUACGGGAGGCAGCAGUGGGGAAUAUUGGGCAAUGGGCGCAAGCCUGACCCAGCAACGCCGCGUGAAGGAAGAAGGUUUUCGGGUUGUAAACCUCUUUUCUCAGGGACGAAGCAAGAGACGGUACCUGCGGAAUAAGCCACGGCUAACUACGUGCCAGCAGCCGCGGUAUUCCGUAGGGGGCAAGCGUUAUCCGGAUUUACUGGGUGUAAGGGGCGUGUAGGUGGGAAAGCAAGUCAGAUGUGAAAACCAUGGGCUCAACCUGUGGCCUGCAUUUGAAACUGUUUUUCUUGAGUACUGGAGAGGCAGACGGAAUGCCUAGUGUAGCGGUGAAAUGCGUAGAUAUUAGGAGGAACACCAGUGGCGAAGGCGGUCUGCUGGACAGCAACUGACGCUGAGGCGCGAAAGCGUGGGGAGCGAACAGGAUUAGAUACCCGUGUAGUC